rnacentral:rRNA from 1 species
GACGAACGCUGGCGGCGUGCUUAACACAUGCAAGUCGAACGGAAAGGCCCUGAUCUUGCGGGGUGCUCGUGAGGCGAAGGGGUGUGUAAAACGCGUGUAACACGCCCUUGUAUUUCGGGUAAAUUCUCGAAACUGGGGAUAAUAUCGCAUAGGAGCUUCUGCUCCACGGUGGGGGUAGGAGAGUGUCGGUGGUGGGGGAUGGAUUAGCGGCUUAUCCGCUUGUUGGGGGGGUAGUGGAUUUCCAAGGUUGUGAAGGGUACGCGGCCUGGGAGGGUGACCAGCCACAUGGGGACUGAGAUACGGAGCAGACGCCUACGGGAGGCAGCAGUGGAGAGUAUGGCGGAGUGGGGGGAAGCCUGAGGCAGCGACGCCGCGUGCGUGAUGACGUCCUUCUGGGUGUAAACCUCUGUCUCCUGUGACGAGGCGUGAGUGACGGUAAUGGGUAAGGAAGCACCGGCUAACUACGUG